AGAAGGGGUGGUGCCUGGGAGGACCUGCAGAGGAGCUCCCGCAUCUCCUCAGGCCCUUUCUUCUGCGCCAUCUUGUGGCAGUUGAGAGCAGGCCCAGGGCAGAAGGGAGGCAGGGGCAUUAAGAGCUCAGGCCUCCAGCUGAGGGACUGCAGAUGUUGGACUCAUGGAGGCAACCACUCAAGGCCACUCUGAGAAGGGUUGAACGUGCUUUAAAUUAAAAGGACUGAGGAUCAUGUGUGUUGGUGUGUCCUGGACUCUGCUCUAAGGCCCUGUGGCUGCCUGGUGCCCUGGGAAUGGUCCGGUCAUGGGCCUCAGCCCAGGAUGAGCAGCCAACAAUGCAAUCCCACGAAGAGUGUGCGGAAGGGAGAGGUUACUUCUCAAGAUGGAGCUGCCAAAUAGGGACACUUUGGAGAGUCUGGCCUGAGAACUUUUAGUUUCAAGAAUGUAUUGCUUUGGAAAAGACAGAAUAAAAGUCCAAGCACUGCCA
rnacentral:lncRNA from 1 species